UGAUUGAUGGUGCUUGCACCUGAUUGACGUUGGAUCACCAGUGAGUGGCGGACGGGUGAGUAACACGUAGGUAACCUGCCCCGGAGCGGGGGAUAACAUUUGGAAACAGAUGCUAAUACCGCAUAACAACAAAAGCCACAUGGCUUUUGUUUGAAAGAUGGCUUUGGCUAUCACUCUGGGAUGGACCUGCGGUGCAUUAGCUAGUUGGUAAGGUAACGGCUUACCAAGGCGAUGAUGCAUAGCCGAGUUGAGAGACUGAUCGGCCACAAUGGAACUGAGACACGGUCCAUACUCCUACGGGAGGCAGCAGUAGGGAAUCUUCCACAAUGGGCGCAAGCCUGAUGGAGCAACACCGCGUGAGUGAAGAAGGGUUUCGGCUCGUAAAGCUCUGUUGUUGGAGAAGAACGUGCGUGAGAGUAACUGUUCACGCAGUGACGGUAUCCAACCAGAAAGUCACGGCUAACUACGUGCCAGCAGCCGCGGUAAUACGUAGGUGGCAAGCGUUAUCCGGAUUUAUUGGGCGUAAAGCGAGCGCAGGCGGUUGCUUAGGUCUGAUGUGAAAGCCUUCGGCUUAACCGAAGAAGUGCAUCGGAAACCGGGCGACUUGAGUGCAGAAGAGGACAGUGGAACUCCAUGUGUAGCGGUGGAAUGCGUAGAUAUAUGGAAGAACACCAGUGGCGAAGGCGGCUGUCUGGUCUGCAACUGACGCUGAGGCUCGAAAGCAUGGGUAGCGAACAGGAUUAGAUACCCUGGUAGUCCAUGCCGUAAACGAUGAGUGCUAGGUGUUGGAGGGUUUCCGCCCUUCAGUGCCGGAGCUAACGCAUUAAGCACUCCGGCCUGGGGAGUACGACCGCAAGGUUGAAACUCAAAGGAAUUGACGGGGGCCCGCACAAGCGGUGGAGCAUGUGGUUUAAUUCGAAGCUACGCGAAGAACCUUACCAGGUCUUGACAUCUUGCGCUAACCUUAGAGAUAAGGCGUUCCCUUCGGGGACGCAAUGACAGGUGGUGCAUGGUCGUCGUCAGCUCGUGUCGUGAGAUGUUGGGUUAAGUCCCGCAACGAGCGCAACCCUUGUUACUAGUUGCCAGCAUUAAGUUGGGCACUCUAGUGAGACUGCCGGUGACAAACCGGAGGAAGGUGGGGACGACGUCAGAUCAUCAUGCCCCUUAUGACCUGGGCUACACACGUGCUACAAUGGACGGUACAACGAGUCGCAAGCUCGCGAGAGUAAGCUAAUCUCUUAAAGCCGUUCUCAGUUCGGACUGUAGGCUGCAACUCGCCUACACGAAGUCGGAAUCGCUAGUAAUCGCGGAUCAGCAUGCCGCGGUGAAUACGUUCCCGGGCCUUGUACACACCGCCCGUCACACCAUGGGAGUUUUAACGCCCAAAGUCGGUGGCCUAACCUUUAGGAGGAGCCGCUAAGCG
rnacentral:rRNA from 2 species